UUCUCAGCUUGCAGGCCCAGUAGCUUAACCACUUCCCUUCUCUUGGAACCUCUUAAGUUGCUAAAAACUUGCCGUUGCCAUUACAGUUUUAUCGACAACUGUUAUAAUAAACCAGAGCUCACUUCGUCAUUCUUGAACAAUUUUCUCUAAAGAAACACAAUACUGAUACAGCUUGGGUUUCGUAAGAACAGCAUGGGUGUUUUUCACUUGCACCAGCAUUUUUCUGAAAACGAUCAUUGCAAAUGGUAAAUUCGUUUUUGAUUCUUCUUCUUCUUCUUCUUCCAGGCUAAUUAAGUAUUUGAUGCAUUAAUGAACUUGUGCAACCUCAAAUGUUGCUUUCCCCCUGAAUUAGUUUGUUUGUCCCACGAGAUUAGGGUGAUCGGAAUAUGGGUAUCCAAAGAGGAUUGGAGAAUAAAGGGGGUUCGAGGGAGUUGGGGGCUGAGAGUUGAGUCUUCGAGGAGAUAAAGUGUCUUGGCCUUUUAUCUUGAUGCCCGUAUGAACUGUCAUGAGAACGGAUACGUGUGACGUGUGAAUGGCAGUUACUCUCCUGUUGGUGCAGGGCUGCGAAAUCUUGGGUCUGCAAGACCAUAGGCUGGCAAGUGUCUUCAGCUUGCGGGGUAAUGGUCACAAGGACCCAAGGUGGAUUGCAAGGAAAGGGUAUAACAGAAGCCUCUGCAACUUGCUGAAUAGUUAGCAAUGUCACUUUUGCUCGUAAUACACACACACACACGCACAACAAUGUUAUAAUUCAGUGACUCUUCAAAUGAUAUACAUUAUCUAGCUCAAAAAUGAAUAUGCUUUAGUUUCAAGUUGUGUUCGGGUAAGAAUCGAGUAUGACCCUGUACAAGUUCCGGAUAAAUAGACUACAUUCAAAAUCA